GACAGAGGGUGCAAACGUUGCUCGGAAUCACUGGGCGUAAAGGGCGCGUAGGCGGGAAGGAAAGUCAGAUGUGAAAUCCCUGGGCUCAACCCAGGAACUGCAUUUGAAACUCUCUUCCUUGAGUACCGGAGAGGAAGGCGGAAUUCCUGGUGUAGAGGUGAAAUUCGUAGAUAUCAGGAGGAACACCAGUGGCGAAGGCGGCCUUCUGGACGGUGACUGACGCUGAGGCGCGAAAGCGUGGGGAGCAAACAGG
rnacentral:rRNA from 1 species